CUGGCAAUGGUAAGUACAAUGGUGUUAUAUACACAUAUACAUAUAUGACAGGAAGUCCAGGAGCCUUUGACUACGCCCUGGCACAGAGUUACUGAGACUAUGUGGUGACAGGUUUACUCUUGAUGUGGCUUGUCUGUGAUAUGGUGCAUUCCAUGAGAUCAUAUUUUACUGAGAUGUUUUACUGUUCUACUCACUGGGCUAUAGAGCUCAUCCCACUCCCUUAACCCCAGUUUUGCAGGUUCAGUGUACAGUGUACAGGGACAGUCCAGCAGAGUACAGGAAAAG
rnacentral:lncRNA from 1 species